rnacentral:lncRNA from 1 species
AGACCCUGGCUGGGGCGCUCGCUGCGCGCAGGGCGCCGCGCCGGGCACUUUGGAGCGCUCUCUCCCGGGGUGCCCCCCACCGGCCCUCCGAUGCCCCAUUUCAGAGACUGGAACGACGAGGCCGGCCCCGCAUCGCCCGCUCCGCUGUGUCACCCGCCCCGGGGCAGCGGAGGCUCAGCGCCCGACCCUCCAGGAAGCAGGGGGUAGCUGGCGGCCGCAGGGGGCGGCGGCUUGGGGCCGGCGCCGGCCGGGGCAGCUGGUACCUGGGCUCCGGCAGGACGAUCCUCUUGCUGGCGCGGGCGGCCGGGGUCGCCUUGCUCUUCUCCAUGGCCAUCAGCAGGUAAUGAUGAAACUCCUGCUCUGGUCCGGGCUACCGGUGAACAGCGCCCAGCGGGCCGGGCCCCCAACCUCGCUCCUGAGCCUGAACAUCCCCCCAACCCCACCGUGAGAAUUCAGCGAAGAGUAAAAGCUGGAAAAAGUUGCGUGUCUUAGGCUAAGCAGAACAAAGUGGGGUGACGGCUCCCCGGCUAGGAACAGAGAUGCCCUUAGGGAGCCCUCUGAUGGAAGAGCUCUCCGCUUAAGAAGGUCACCACUCCCUUACACUCAGCCCCCCUCAAUCUGAUUCCCUGCUAUGCCUGCCAUCACCACUGGCCAGUUUUACCACAUGCUUCUCAAGACCCAAGGCACAAUAGGCAUAAAGUUGUCCUGAAAAGGACAAGAGGAGUGUCAGAAGUAGGAAUGGCAGUUGAAGGAGCUUCGUCUGCCAGCAGAAAGCUGAAAUGACAGGAGAUGUUGCUGAGAUGGGUGCAUUAAAGUUUAGGCUUUCCAGAGUUUAUAUUGCUAACAACUUGAAAGGAAAAAAGCUAACUAGAGAACUGACUGGUCUUAUUUGUUUUAGAUUCUGGGCUUUACUAAGACUUCCUACUCUCAGAAUCUCUGGACUAUAAACGCUGGGUGGGGUGGGAGCUGGGAAUGUUAUUCUGGAAAAUUAAUCACAAAUGAAAAGAAAAUCAACUCUAAGACUCCAGUUAGAAGAUUUUUGAAAAUGGCAGAACAUGACUGGCCUUCAUUCAAGUCAGAAUAUUUAAAGCAAUCCUUGCUAAGAAGAACUUGAUUUUGUAUAAGCAGUCCCUUAAAUACAGUUGCUUCUCAAGAAAACCACACACAAUUGAUGUUUGAAUGGCUUUAUUUACAAACAUCUCACUCCGUAAGCCUCUGCAGGUAUUUCUAGCCUCCCAGGGGCCACUGUCCCGUUUCACCUGUAAUUUGGAUCACAAUUCUGUUUGUUGUCACACACAUCAUAUGAACUGCUUUUCAUGCUGCUUUUAUCCACAAAGCUUUACAAGCUUUAAUGGCAGCUCUAUGUAUGACAACUUUAUAAAGAUCUGCCAAAAGGU